AUCCAUAGGUGGCAGAGGAGGGACUUCAGAUGCUUCAUGACACCCUCUUUCCCUACCGCCUACAG
ensembl:miRNA MIR6865 microRNA 6865